rnacentral:rRNA from 1 species
AGCAUUUCUAGUAUUAGAGGCACUGCCUGCCCGGUGACGCUAGUUAAACGGCCGCGGUAUCCUGACCGUGCAAAGGUAGCAUAAUCAUUUGUUCCCUAAAUAGGGACUUGUAUGAACGGCCACACGAGGGCUUUACUGUCUCUUACUUCCAAUCCGUGAAAUUGACCUUCCCGUGAAGAGGCGGGAAUAUAAUAAUAAGACGAGAAGACCCUAUGGAGCUUUAAUUAACCGACCCAAAGAGACCAUAUGAACCAACCGACAGGAACAACAAACCUCUAUAUGGGCCGGCAAUUUAGGUUGGGGUGACCUCGGAGAAUAAAACAACCUCCGAGUGAUUUAAAUCUAGACUAACCAGUCGAAAGUACUACAUCACUUAUUGAUCCAAAAACCUUGAUCAACGGAACAAGUUACCCUAGGGAUAACAGCGCAAUCCUAUUUCAGAGUCCAUAUCGACAAUAGGGU